GUGCUCGCUUCGGCACACAUAUAUUAAAAUUGAAAUGAUACAGAGAAGAUUAGUGUGGUCCCUGCACAAGGAUGACACACAAAUUUGUGAAGCGUUUCAUAUUAAA